UAAAAAAUACUGCAUCAGAAAAGUACACAGUUCUCGAGGAGUUUUGUAGUUCCUGAUAAGUUUUAACAAUAGUGGUGCUACGUAACGUCGUUAAAAUACGAAUUUUCGAAAAAUUGAGGUGCUAUAUGGGUGUCAGCUUUCCAGCACCGCAAUUUUGACAUUUAGUUUACAGAAAUUUCCUAAUGGUGUUGGAGUUUGCUAUGUUUUGGGAUGCUCUUCCGGGGUUAAUAUGCCCAGUCCUAAGUGUCCGAAAAAUCCUGAACAGAAAGGGACCAGAAAAAAAGGGUCACCAAAAAUUGACGAUGAUUUAUUAAAAAAUGCUGCAUCAGAAAAGCACAUAGGUAUAACAGAAAUAUUCUUUAUAAUCUCAUUCGAUUCAUUUGCUCUCUUUAUUCGAUGCUUUGAGCUAUACGAACCAUUCCUUUGUCACGCAUUUUGUUUAUGAAACUUGGCGUGAUUCCAUGAGUUCUUUUUUCCUUAAUGUUCGCACAAUUAUUUUCAUUGCAAUUAGAAGAC